UAUUUUCAGAGAGAAUGAAUAAUGGGGAAAGAAAUUGAAGAGAAAGUAACAGGCAAGGAGAUAUUUGCAAGCCCUUCUUUUUACAGCUUUCUUCUUGUUUUGGCCAGAACUGGAGGGUCCAUCCUGUGAAAAGGAGGUGGCAGAAGGAUCUGUGAAUAUAUAUUACAUUCAACCUCAACGAUGGUGAACAUAAUCACUGUUCAGGGCAUGCAGACACAGCCCCACGUUCACAAGCUGCCAGAAUAUUCAUUAAAGUGGAUAAAAUGGCCUGCAAUGAAAUCCUCAAAGGAUGUGGUAGAUAAAGCAAAUGCCCUCCUAAACACAGCUGCAGGCUGCCAAAACCCCCAGCCACACCUGGUGAGCAUUCUCAGAGAGGAGCAAGUAGAGACAGCC
rnacentral:lncRNA from 1 species